UUUGUAAAUAUAAAUAGUCCUUCCUACACCUUAUUUUCAACCGUAAAUCAUUUUCACCAGUUUCUCUGCACGAAUAUCGAGAGAAACCAAACUUUGUUCUUCGUGUUCUUCGUAAUCAAACGAGGAUUUGAAGGUGUUAUUGGAAUCCGAUGGAGGCGUAUGAAUAGUCAAAACGAAGCUCUCGACGCGUAGAAUCUAUUACAAUCAUUAGUUUCGGUGCAGAUUCAACGGGUAAAUUACUAUUAAUUUUAUAAAAUUCGAAUUAUUUGUUUUUAAAUGAUGAAUUUUCGUAGAUGAUUGUUUUUGAUUGUUUUGAUGAUGCCAUGUUGUAGUACGUGUUUUUCUCGUCGAUUUGGUAUAUUAUACGUCAAAAACGGAGUUCAAUAACAUGCUGAAAAAGUGGUUUGAUUCUUGGUUUGCUGUUUUUGAUGUUCUUGAGCAAACUCGCCGGAAACUUUAAUCUUUUGGCCGGGUUUUUGAUCUGUUGAGUCUGGGCUUAAUUGGAAGCCACCAGUAUGUUUGUCUUGAGGCAGGAAGUCGAAUUAUGUGGUCAAAAUAAGUGUUAAAUUCGAGAGGAGCUCUGCCGGAGUCUGGAGAAGCUCGCCGGCGGCAAGUUUUCUCCGAGCUUUUCCGGCUAUAUUCCGGAUCCUUUGACGGUUAUAACGGCAUGGUUGAGUUCCUGGAGUUUUAUUCUAUAUAUCUGCACGUUUUGGCCAGGUUAUGGGCAUUAUAACUCUGUCUCCGGCGAGGGAAGAGUCGGCCGGGGUAAAAUUGCAGUUAGGUCCCCCAUGUUUCGGGAGUGAUGAAGGUUUAGUACCAUGGUUUUAUUUCUGUCGUUGUAGACACCAAACUUUCCAAAGUUUGCACUCUGCACCCCAAGUUCAAACUUUUAAACAGUGACACUUUAAACCUUUUCAUAUUAUUUUCAGAAAUUGUUUUAUUUAUUUAUUUUAAAUUUCAAAAAUUAUUGAUUUUAAAUUCAAAAAUGCUUUUUAAAUAUUUGUUUAUUCAAAAAUAAAUCUAAAUUAGUUUAUUAAUUAAUUUUAAUUAGUAAUUAAUUAUUUUAAUUGGUCAAUUAAUUUAAAUAUUAAUUGGUCAAUUAUUUUAAUUAAUUAUUAAUUGAUUUUAAUUGAUUAAUUAAUGGGAUUUAAUUAUUCUUUUUGAUUUAAAAAUUCUGAAAAAUAGUUUCGAGCUUUGAAAUAUUUCUCUAAAUUAUUUUCAAGGCUCGUCAAUUGUUUCUGAAUGAUUUCAAGUCCCAUGUUGAGUAUCCGGACUUGAUUAUUUAUCCGAAAAGUGAUUCUUUUAUCAUUUUAAUUCCGAAAAAUGUUUAAAAAAUUCUAGAAAAUCCCCGAAAAAUCAUUUUGAACCCAAAACUUGAUUUGACAUCAAGUGGGGAGAGAAACUUCAUAUGUAAUGUGUUAUCUGCUUUGUGUGUGAUGUGUUAUAUGUUGAUAGUGGAAUCAGAAAACAGCUUAGAUCAUAACUUUUGAUCUGUAAGUCGGAAUCGAGUGAAACGAAAGAGAGAUAAAAGCUUAUAAAGCCUAUUUCAAUAUGACAUGAUAAUAUGGUGGAGUCAAGAAUGUGAUGAUGUGUUGUUAAAUAUAUAGAAUGUGAUAAUAUGUGAUCUAAUUGCUAUUAAGUGAUGAUUACGUGAUAUACGUGUUUAUUCAUGAUAUUAUACACAUGUGAUAAAUGAUUUGAAUGACAUAGUUUUGGGUAAUGAUUGAUAUUGGAUAGGAGUAUAUGGAUUAUAGGAAUUCAAGUGGAUUGACUGGUUGAUUGAAAAUAGGUUGACAGGUGGAUAGUCUUAUAAGUAGACGAGACGCUGUCAAAUUAUCAAUAGGAUUUAUAUGAUAAUUGAUUUGUGAUAUGUUAUGUGGAAGAUGACUUGACUAUAUGAUAAAGACAAAGCAUGAUUAUGUGUUAAGUGAUAUUUGAUAGGUAAAGGGAUAUAUAAGUGGGUAUCGAUAUACGUGAUAUGUAUAUGCGAUAAAUUGAUUAGUGAUUAUAGUAUUAUUUUAUUCUCGUAAAGGAUUUGGACGAGACGUGUACGCUUGAAGACGUUCAGAAAGUCAAGUGAUAUUGCAAAGCGAAUAAGGCACGAAUCGAGGAAGUGAAGCUAUAUUGCGAAUAGAGUAUAGCCAGAGAUGGUCUAGAUAUUAUGUUAUGCAUAGAUUGUGAAAGUGGAAAGAUGAGAUUGAGCUAUGAGUUGGGAAUUGGAUUUAAGGCAAGAAUCCUAAACCCUUCUCUUUGUUAUAUUGCAAAUAUUCUGAUCCAUUCCUUUGGUAUAUGUUUCAAGUAUUCAUGCCUUUCUUUUCUAUGUUUAAAAGUGUGAGUAUUCUGCCCAUUCUUUCAAAUCUUCACUUUCUAGAAAAUUUCCGUUUUACAAAUUAAUUCGAAGUUCAGAUUGUCAUUGAAGCAUGUGUUGCUCAGUGAUAGUUAGAGCUUUGAAUGAAUUGGGAUCUUCUUGAUUAUUCAACCCGCCAUUGUCAUGCUGGUUUAGCAGGCUAAAUUCAGUUGCUUAGCCGAUAAUGGUAGAUACUGAAUAGUUGAGGAUUUCUUGAACCGUGAUUUAUGAAAUGAUGGAUCAUAAUUUAUGAAUAGAUUAUUAUCAAAGUUUGAAUUGGAAUUAUUCUGUUGUUGAUGAUAUUUAUGAUGAUGUUCUGUUGAUUUACAUUGGCUUCUUGAGUUGAAUUAGAGAAUUGGAUUAUUGUUUUUAUAUAAACAUGUGGACCAGAUGAGUGGUCAGACCAGAUGAAUGGUCAUGUUAGGCCAAUGAGUGCCUUGGAUCCAGUGAUAGAGCAUGGCGGGGCCUGCUCGGGGUUAGGUAUGACUGAUCAGCAUCCUAACCUUGGUUUUUAAUUAAAAUGUGAUAGUCCAAUUCAAUAAUUCUUUGGAAAGAUUGAAUUCCUCAGUAUUCAAUUGCUACAAGGUAUUGUGAUUUUCUUAUACAAUACCUAAACUCGUGAACUCAGGUUGAAUCCUUUUAUAUCUUGAACUCGUGAACUUCUGUUAUAUCAUUUCAGAAUUAUCAUUGUUUAUUACUACUUGCUGAGCAUUGUUGCUCACUCUUGCUAUUCUCUUUUAACCAUUUCAGAAAGGAUUAAAGAUGAAUGGCUAGUCUAUGAUUGCGAGUAAAGCUAAUGCUAGGCGAGGAGACAGAGUUGAGGAUCCAGUGGUCGAGGAGUGUUCAGGAAAGUUGAUGAGGUUGGUGCAAGCUGGAAUAGUUGACAGUGAUUCUUCUUAUCGAAGAUGAUCUGAUUUGGUAAGAGAAGUUGUGUAAUAAUAGUGGUUGAUUCUAAUUUCAAUGCUGUAACCUGGAUGCGAUCCUGUUGUUUUAGG
rnacentral:lncRNA from 1 species